rnacentral:rRNA from 1 species
GACGAACCGUCCUAACGUUGUUCGGAAUCACUGGGCUUAAAGGGCGCGUAGGCGGCUUGCCAAGUCAGGGGUGAAAUCCUGCAGCUUAACUGUAGAAGGGCCUUUGAUACUGGCGAGCUCGAGGGAGGUAGGGGUAUGUGGAACUUCCGGUGGAGCGGUGAAAUGCGUUGAUAUCGGAAGGAACGCCGGUGGCGAAAGCGAUCGACUGGACCUUUUCUGACGCUGAGGCGCGAAAGCCAGGGGAGCAAACGGG